rnacentral:rRNA from 1 species
AGUGGCAGACGGGUGAGUAACGCGUGGGAAUCUACCGUGCCCUGCGGAAUAGCUCCGGGAAACUGGAAUUAAUACCGCAUACGCCCUACGGGGGAAAGAUUUAUCGGGGUAUGAUGAGCCCGCGUUGGAUUAGCUAGUUGGUGGGGUAAAGGCCUACCAAGGCGACGAUCCAUAGCUGGUCUGAGAGGAUGAUCAGCCACAUUGGGACUGAGACACGGCCCAAACUCCUACGGGAGGCAGCAGUGGGGAAUAUUGGACAAUGGGCGCAAGCCUGAUCCAGCCAUGCCGCGUGAGUGAUGAAGGCCUUAGGGUUGUAAAGCUCUUUCACCGGAGAAGAUAAUGACGGUAUCCGGAGAAGAAGCCCCGGCUAACUUCGUGCCAGCAGCCGCGGUAAUACGAAGGGGGCUAGCGUUGUUCGGAAUUACUGGGCGUAAAGCGCACGUAGGCGGAUAUUUAAGUCAGGGGUGAAAUCCCAGAGCUCAACUCUGGAACUGCCUUUGAUACUGGGUAUCUUGAGUAUGGAAGAGGUAAGUGGAAUUCCGAGUGUAGAGGUGAAAUUCGUAGAUAUUCGGAGGAACACCAGUGGCGAAGGCGGCUUACUGGUCCAUUACUGACGCUGAUGGACGAAAGCGUGGGGAGCGAACAGGAUUAGAUACCCUGGUAGUCCACGCCGUAAACGAUGCUAACUCGUUUUUGGGUUUUUAAGAUUCAGAGACUAAGCGAAAGUGAUA